rfam:Deltaproteobacteria bacterium CSP1-8 XT12_C0014, whole genome shotgun sequence.
GUAAGCCGUGUGCGGGAAAUCCGCACGCACGGUUUGAAAGGGGGAUCUGGAAACGGGGUGACGUAAACGCCACCACCGCGCCAGAAUUCUACCAAUGUCCCCGCGGGCCGACCGCAC